AGUGAACGCUGGCGGUAGGCCUAACACAUGCAAGUCGAACGGCAGCACAGUAAGAGCUUGCUCUUACGGGUGGCGAGUGACGGACGGGUGAGGAAUACAUCGGAAUCUACUUUUUCGUGGGGGAUAACGUAGGGAAACUUACGCUAAUACCGCAUACGACCUACGGGUGAAAGCAGGGGAUCUUCGGACCUUGCGCGAUUGAAUGAGCCGAUGUCGGAUUAGCUUGUUGGCGGGGUAAAGGCCCACCAAGGCGACGAUCCGUAGCUGGUCUGAGAGGAUGAUCAGCCACACUGGAACUGAGACACGGUCCAGACUCCUACGGGAGGCAGCAGUGGGGAAUAUUGGACAAUGGGCGCAAGCCUGAUCCAGCCAUACCGCGUGGGUGAAGAAGGCCUUCGGGUUGUAAAGCCCUUUUGUUGGGAAAGAAAAGCAGCAGGUUAAUACCCCGCUGUUCUGACGGUACCCAAAGAAUAAGCACCGGCUAACUUCGUG
rnacentral:rRNA from 1 species